CAAUAGCGUAUAUUAAAAUUGUUGCGGUUAAAACGCUCGUAGUUGGAUAUCUGUGAGCGGGUUCCGGUCCUUCCCAGUGAAGAUUACACGGAACUCUGCUCGCAUUUGUUCAGGGAGGGUGGAUGCACUUCACUGUGUGACCACAUGAUCUGAAUUUUUACUUUGAGGAAAAUGAGAGUGUUCCAAGCAGGCAAUCGCCGUGAAUAUGAUAGCAUGGAAUAAUAGCACAGGACUCUUGGUUCAAUGCUGUUGGUUAAUUGAACUAGAGUAAUCACAAUAAAGGAUAGUUGGGGGUAUUCGUAUUUAACUGUCAGAGGUGAAAUUACUUGGAUUUUUUAAAGUACGAACAAUUGUCGAAGGCAUCUACCCAGGAUGUUUUUGUUGAUCAAGAACGAAAGUUAGGGGAUCGAAGACG
rnacentral:rRNA from 1 species